rnacentral:rRNA from 1 species
CAGAGGGUGCAAACGUUGUUCGGAAUUACUGGGCGUAAAGCGAGUGUAGGCGGUCCGAUAAGUCAGGUGUGAAAGCCCUGGGCUCAACCCAGGAAGUGCACUUGAAACUGCCGGGCUAGAGUAUCGGAGAGGUUGGUGGAAUUCUCGGUGUAGAGGUGAAAUUCGUAGAUAUCGAGAGGAACACCGGUGGCGAAGGCGGCCAACUGGACGAAUACUGACGCUGAGACUCGAAAGCGUGGGGAGCAAACAGGAUUAGAUACCCUGGUAGUCCACGCCGUAAACGAUGGGUGCUAGGUGUCGCGGGCUUUGACUCCCGCGGUGCCGUAGCUAACGCAUUAAGCACCCCGCCUGGGAAGUACGGCCGCAAGGCUA